GUGCGUGUGUGUGUGUGUGUGUGUGUGUGAAGAAGUCAAGGUUCCAAGGCCGAUUUAAUUAAGGUAGUCUAGUAAUUUUUCGUUGAUUCUUGUAAAAGAAGGUAUGGUGACCCUAUAUCCUUGAUUAAUCUUCCAUUCAAGGAUCCAAUCCAAAAUAGAUUUUGAAGCUUCUCACAAUGUCAAAAUCCUACGUUCUAAUCUAAGAAUGGGUUCAUUGGUAAAGAGUUUUUAUGACAUUUAUAUGGAUAAUUAAAGUUUUAUUGACGAUUUUAAGUUUAUUUUAUAUAGAAUUCCUCCAAGAACAUAUGUGUUCCUCUAAACCCCUAAAUUGAAUGGAAAUUGGUUUGUACAUUGAAUAGCAUGUGAUAAUAUGAUGUUAGUUUAUGGAUUCAUGUCAUUAAUUAUGUCUUGUGAUGGAAAAGUAUUAUGUAUUGAGGUAUUGAUGUAUUUGUGUGUUGGUGAGUUUUGAUCUAAAGACUUGAAGGUAUAUUCUAAUCGAUCUCUUGUUGAAUUGCUCAUAUUGAUGAGGGAAUUGUUUAUGGAUAUAUGUCAAUAUUAUUCUUUAUUGUAGUAUCUUGGAAAUAAGUGUUAAUACCUAUUCUUAUUGAGUUGUAAUUUUGACACAUUAAUGUGUGAUCCACUUAUGGUGGAGAUGCUUAUUUGAUAGCUAUAUGAAUGUGAAUCUAGUAGAAUUAAGGUGAUAAUGUCUUGAAGUAGUCUUACAUGUGAUUCCAAUGAUAGAAUGAUGAUCUUGUAUAGAAUGUGAAUGUGUUCUUAUUGAAAGCGUACUCUCAUUACAUAAUCUUGACUUGGUAGGCUUAUGCAUUCUAUUCUUUUAUAGUUGAAUGUAAAAGUAUAUGUGUCUUGAAUUGCUACUAGUGAUAAUGAGUUACAUGAUUAUGAGCACUUCAAUACUUAUUUGGAUAUAAUGUAUAUUGAUGAAUGGUUGGAAGAUAUUUAUGUAGAAAAAUAUUUGGGAGGUUUAAUUGAAGAUGUUUAAUUAUAUCACAAAAGUGUUCAAUUUGAUAGGAAUUUUAUAUUGUCUUUGUCAUGCCCAUUGGCGAACAUAAUUGGAAAAACUUAAUUGAAGUUGCAUGUAUCAUUCGCAAUGGCAUCUAGACAAGGAGUUUGUUGUGUUUCUAUAUGUAUGAGAAUUUUCUAUUGGGAUGAAGAUGUUCACAUGCUUUAUAACAAUUUAUUUAUAUAUUCCAGGAUUAAGGUUAAGUGGACACAUGGUCACUAUCUUGUUUUGUUCCUACCAUUGUUGCUCUUGAGCAAUGGAUGUUGUUUGCUAAUGCACAUCUUCUUGAUUUUUAGAGAUUUAAAUUUGAGGACGAAUUGUUUUCAAGAAUAGGGGAAUGAUAACAUCAAUGUCGGCCUACUAGUACUAAAGUUGACGGGAUUCAAUUUAAAAUCAAUAAAUAUGUUUAUUGAUAAAGAGAUGUUCAAAGCCCAAAUGUAAGAAGAUUGGAUCACACAAAGCCCAACAAAGGAGCCAAAAGGCUGAAUGGUUAAAGUCAAAGUUUAGUCAAAAUUCCCUAGUUUAGAAACCUUAUUUUAAAGUUUUUCCUAGUUUAAAAAGUUUCCUAGUUUAAAUACUUUAUUUUAAUGUUUUCCUAAUUUAAAAAGUUUCCUAGUUUAAAGUUUUUUGUUUCCUAGUUUGAUGUUUCCUACUUUAAAAGUUACCUAGUUUAAAGUUUUCCUAGUGUAAAGUGUCCAUAAAAGUAGGAUUUAAAUUAUAUUCUAUUUAGGAUAGGUCUUCCUUAUAUAGAGGGGUUGAUUUUAUUAUUUUGGACAUAUGAUUAAUAUUAUUUGAGAUAUUUCUCUUCUUUACACCUAUGUGUGUGGUAACUAUGGAUUUAUCUUACAACAUUAUAAGAACGAUUCUUUAGAGGGUAAGAUUAAUUCUUAAUUUGAUAUCUUUGGUUUUUAUUCCUAAAUUAGAGAAGGUGAUUUGUCUUAUACUAAUUGUUCUCUCUAAUUUCUACACAAUAGGGGUCUAGAUAACUUUUGAUGUAAGUUCUUGAAUUGACUUUAUUUAUUAUUAUUAUCAUAAUUAGUCUUACUCCUCUAACUUGGAAUACUGAUAUCAAAUAGGGUUCUUAGAACUUAAUCUUGAAAUUAGGGAUUUUAUUCUUGAAUUUCAUAUAUCAUUCAAUUUCGUCUUUAAUCUUUAUAAUUUUGCUUCCGCAUUAUGUUAUUGUUUAUUCUGGUAACCAGAUUCUUGUCAAGCAAGGUCAGCUUGGGGUUACUUGCAAUUCUAGGUCCUAUGUUACGUCAAAGGGUAGGCUCUGGACGUGACCUCUAAAUCCUAGAUCCAUGAUAUUAGUACUGCACACCUUAAUAACAAUAGAUUGUAUCUAUAGGCAUUAGUUAUACAUUUGUUGAAAAAGAGUUCCAUCGUAACAUCUCGUAAACCAAAAUAUCUAGGAUUAAACAAAGAAACUUAGAAUAGUUAUUUUUGGAAAGAAAAGGGAAAAUCUGGAAAAUUUCCUAAGUGUAAAAGUAAGUUUUAGGUCAUUUUCAAACGACCAUAACUUCUAUCUCAAGAUGACUUAGGGUCAGUUCUUUGUAUGGUUAGGAAUCCCUUGAAUAGAUCUUUCCAACACCGCUGAGUAUGCAUAAUUUCGAUAUCAUAUGAGGGAGAUAUGCCUACCGAAAGUUGGGCUGUUGGAUUGAGAAAAUCUAAUCCGGAUUUUAGUAAGGGUAAAGUGGUCUUUUCACCCUACUAUUUCCUAAUUUAUAUUAAGAGUUUACUAGAGGUAAAGUGAAUCCUUAAGUAAGUUUUUAAAAUAUUUAAUACGCUUAGGGCUUGGGAGAAAAGAGAAUAGAAAAAGGAGAAAGAAAAAAAAGACUAAGAUUUCGCCAAGAUCGUUGAGUGAGUUUCCUCGGGGGUUAUCCCUUGCACGUAUGUUAGAUCUUUCAGUGAUGGGUUCUUACACCCACACAACAAUAUGUUUAAUUUAGCGUAAUUAAUAUAGAUUGAAUGAUGAACUUUGAAGUUCUUGAUGAAAAACCAUUGAAUUCUUGUUGGUUGAGUUGUAGUAUACCUUGGGUUGUUAGAUUUGUGUUUCACGGUUUUUUUACGAGUCUAAACUGUUGAUAUAUUUAACAUCACAAAAUUAAAAAACAUUGAUAUAUGUAUGAUAUAAAUAAUUUCUUUUACUUUGUCAAACUUCGGACCAACUCAAAAUAGGAUAAACGAAUCAAAAGAUAGCGAGGAAAAAGAUAUUGAUAUCUAAUAGAAAAUAAUUCUCCUUAAUUAUAUCCGUGGAUUUCCAAGAUAAUCACUCAACUAACAACUAUUAUCUCGGAGGGUUAAUAAAACUUGCAAUUAAAGAUUAAAAAAAAUCUAUUACUUGAGUUAUCAUAUGAGAAAUCAUUUUUUACGGGUGUAAAUCUUGAUUAGUCGGAUCUCUAAUACGAACCCCGAAUUGAAAAAAAUGGCAUUUGAGUAAUUUUCUUCAAGGUGAAGGUUAAUUUAGUUUCAUUUCCAGUUGCGUUUUGUCGACAUGUAAGGCUUAUAUAUUUGGGCUAUUUGUUCCGUUUCUCUCUCUCCACUUUUAACUCAACUAGUGUACAGUGAUCACAACGAAAUUGCUCAGGCGAAAUAGUCGAGGUGAAAAAUAGAGCAUCGACAAUGGUACUGAAUGUCAAUGGGGUGUCGUUAAAAUCUCACAAAAUGUUACCAUUUCCUUGUUCUUCAGCCAGAUCUCUGAGAGUUUUGAUGGCUUCAACCAUUCAUCGACCUUCUGUAAGACUCCAUCGAAGACCAAGGUCAAAGGGCAUUAGGGAAGCAAUAACUUCACUUUACUCCAUCAAUCUUCAAGGAUUAACAAGGAUCCGGCCAUUGAAUUUCUAGAAGGCCAAUUGAAGAAGGCUUGAAUUCUCUUUCUCCAUGAUUGGUGAAUUAGUUAUUUUAUGUCAAAUACGAGAAGUACGAGAUCACCUUUGAUCGAGCAAUUAGUUCACUACCUUUCCUCUAACAAGCAAGUAAGCCAACUACCUUAUCUCAUUAGCGAAGCUAGAGUACAUGAGUAGACUGCUUUUCUUAGUUAGAAAAUGGAAUUGAUAAAAAAACUUUCUGUGGGCUUUGCUGCUCUCCCCAGGAAAGAUCAGAAGGUCAGAAGUGGAUUCGCCCUGUGUGCUGCUCGCGACGCCCCUGUAGAAAAGCAAGCUUCUUCCCCUUACUUAUUUUAUUAGUAAUGACCGCCCUUAAGAUGCCGUUGCGAGUUUGUUCGCGGUAGUAUUUACGUUAGUAGUGCAGCCCUUCC